rnacentral:lncRNA from 1 species
CCCAACCAUAGAGCAGACAACAGCAGAAGGUCACCAACAGGUCAUCAAUGCAACGAGAAAUUCUCGCACCCGGGGGCGUCCUUCAGCUGGCCCCUAAACAAAUAUAUACUGGUUCAGUGAUAAUGAACACCAUACUAAACUCCAAAUUGUACACAAGAAACUAAAAGUUAAAAUAAUACAAGACUAACAAAGGCCAGAGGCUUCUGACUUGGGACAGGCGCAAAAAUGCGGCGGGGUUAAACAUGUUUGUGAGAUCUCAACCCUCCCCCUAUACCUCUAGCCAAUGCAGAAAAGUAAACGCAUAACAAUACGCAC